AUGAUCGGCGGCAGGCUCACCCUUGAUAAGAGUUGGGUCGAUUUCUAUGAAGUUCACGAGGUCACGAUCGGGUGCCCUAUCACCUUAAAGUUGUUGAGUUCUGCGGACUUGAAGGUCUCAAGGACGAGGUCAUUAAGGCGGUGGCAAAGUGUGGGCCACAGCACAAAGCAUUUGACAUGGAUGUCGAGGGUGCUGGUGGUGCUGAGGGUGCUUAGAGUGUUAUCUCUGCUAUCUCCGCUAUCCACUUUAAAGACUAUAUGUGUUAUGACUGUUAUAAUUAUGGUUUAUCAUAUGGUUAUGGUUGAGGUGAGUACUAAGGCGCCAAUCGACCGGCCCAAAUUUGGGCUGUCCACACGUAGCCACCCAAUUUUAACGAUUACACCCGUCCGAUUUGGCGUCCUACUUCGUCCACCUCGUCUCGUACGGGGUUGA
rnacentral:rRNA from 1 species